rnacentral:rRNA from 1 species
AUGUCCUACGGGGGGCAGCAGUGGGGGAUAUUGCACAAUGGGGGGAACCCUGAUGCAGCGACGCCGCGUGGGUGAAGAAGCGCCUCGGCGCGUAAAGCCCUGUCUUCAGGGACGAUAAUGACGGUACCUGAGGAGGAAGCCACGGCUAACUACGUGCCAGCAGCCGCGGUAAUACGUAGGUGGCGAGCGUUGUCCGGAUUUACUGGGCGUAAAGGGAGCGUAGGCGGGCUUUUAAGUGAGAUGUGAAAUACUCGGGCUCAACUUGAGUGUUGCAUUUCAAACUGGAAGUCUAGAGUGCAGGAGGG